GGACUACACGGGUUUCUAAUCCCAUUCGCUACCCACGCUUUCUUGUUUCAGUGUCAGGAGUGCUCCAGUCUGCUGCCUUCGCUUUUGGUGUUCCCCAUAAUAUCAACGCAUUUCACCGCUACACUAUGAGUUCCGCAGACCCCUCGCAUCCUCAAGUCGCACCGUUUCCCUUGCAUGCCCCCGGUUAAGCCGAAGAAUUUAACAAGAGACUAAUGCGACCACCUACACAACCUUUACGCCCAAUAAUUCCGGAUAACGCUUGAGGCACUCGUAUUACCGCGGCUGCUGGCAC
rnacentral:rRNA from 1 species